GAACUUAAGCAUAUCAAUAAGCGGAGGAAAAGAAACUAACAAGGAUUCCCCUAGUAACUGCGAGUGAAGCGGGAAGAGCUCAAAUUUAAAAUCUGGCAGCUGAUGGGCUUGUCCGAGUUGUAAUCUAGAGAAGUGUCUUCCGCGCUGGGACCGUGUACAAGUCUCUUGGAAUGGAGCAUCAUAGAGGGUGAGAAUCCCGUCUCUGACACGGAAUUUACUGGUGCUUUUGUGAUGCGCUCUCGAAGAGUCGAGUUGUUUGGGAAUGCAGCUCAAAAUGGGUGGUAAAUUCCAUCUAAAGCUAAAUACAGGCGAGAGACCGAUAGCGAACAAGUACCGUGAGGGAAAGAUGAAAAGGACUUUGAAAAGAGAGUUAAACAUUACGUGAAAUUGUUGAAAGGGAAACGAUUCAAGUCAGUCGCAUUAGCCAGUAAUCAACCCUCGCAAUUAACCUUGCUGGGCUUACUUUCUGGUUGAUGGGUCAGCAUCAAUUUUGACCGUCAGAGAAAGGCUUUGCGGGGAAUGUGACAUCUUCGGAUGUGUUAUAGCCCCAACUCGCAUGUGAUGGUCGGGAUUGAGGAACUCAGCACGCCUUUACAGGUCAGGGCCGCCAGAAUGGCCCAUGUAAACGUAGCUUAGGAUGCUGGCAUAAUGGCUUGAACCGACCCGUCUUGAAACACGGACCAAGGAGUCUAACAUGCCUGCGAGUGUUUGGGUGGAAAACCCGAGCGCGAAGUGAAAGUGAACUUGGUUGAGAUCCCUGUCGUGGGGAGCACCGACGCCCGGACCAGACCUUCUGUGACGGAUCUGCGGUAGAGCAUGCAUGUUGGGACCCGAAA
rnacentral:rRNA from 1 species